AGAGUUUGAUCCUGGCUCAGGACGAACGCUGGCGGCGUGCUUAACACAUGCAAGUCGAACGGGCUGCCCUCUUUCGGGGGGGUGGUUAGUGGCGAACGGGUGAGUAACACGUGGGUAACCUGCCCCAGGCUCUGGGAUAACUCCGGGAAACCGGGGCUAAUACCGGAUAUGACCGACCGCCGCAUGGUGGUGGGUGGAAAGUUUUUUCGGUCUGGGAUGGGCCCGCGGCCUAUCAGCUUGUUGGUGGGGUGAUGGCCUACCAAGGCGGUGACGGGUAGCCGGCCUGAGAGGGCGACCGGCCACACUGGGACUGAGACACGGCCCAGACUCCUGCGGGGGGCAGCAGUGGGGAAUAUUGCGCAAUGGGCGGAAGCCUGACGCAGCGACGCCGCGUGAGGGAUGACGGCCUUCGGGUUGUAAACCUCUUUCAGCUCCGACCAAGGCUCUCUUUUCGGAGGGUUGAGUGUAGGGGUAGAAGAAGCACCGGCUAACUACGUGCCAGCCGCCGCGGUAAUAC
rnacentral:rRNA from 1 species